AUAAAUCAACAGGACAGACUGUUUUUCAACUAGAAUGUAGAGUAAGUACUGUGUUUAUCACUUUUAGAUGGAUAUUAGUUAUUACAAGUUAGUUAAUAAGUAGAUUAAAGUCACAGGCGUAAAUGUCAUCUUCCUGUAAAUUAACUUUCAGAACUGGUUAAGAAUCAGAAAAAAAAGAAAAACUCUCAAGACACAAUCAUGUUAUUAUUUUAAACAGUUUUUCUGUGUAUUUCAAUCCCUUAAUUAGGUUUUAAGGUAUUUAUCUACUACGGCAGGUUUUUGUUGAGGCAGUGACAGGAGAUGCAUCACUGUGCUUACUUCGACUACUGGGGAAAGGGGACUGAAGUCACAGUAAUGUCAGAAACAACAUCACCAACUCUGUUCCCUUUGGUGAAGUGUGAACCUGACGGUGAUAAAGUCACCGUCGGUUGUCUUGCACACCACAACUACCCAAAGAGUCUUACUUUCCAGUGGACCAAUGCAUGUGGAGCCGAUCUGACUUCUGAUCAAUAUCCUUCAAUUCUGAACAACAACAAAUAUACGGGAGUCAGUUUGCUCAAAGUACCAAAGUCUGACUGGAAUUUAAGGCACUCUUUUGAAUGUUCUGUGACGCACGCAGGAGGAUCAAGAAGUGUGACUUUGGGAAAAAAGGCCUCUUGUUCUAUGAUAAGAAAUAUCACAAUGACACUGAAACCAACAAGUCCCAAAGACAUUUUCAUCAACAACCAGGCAAAGUUUGAGUGCAGGAUUAAUGGACCGGACCAGAACACCAUAAAUGAAAUGAAAUUCACUUGGCAAAUAAAUGGAGCUGAUGUGACGAAGAACAGCAGUGAAACAACAGACGCCACAGGCAGCAAAAUCAGCACGUUGACUCGCGACCGCUCUGAAUGGCAGACAAUCGACAACGUGCGCUGUUCUGCUAAGGGCCCAAAAACACACGUUUCUAAAGAUCUGCAUAUCAACAAAGGAGAUAAUGAACCAAAAGUAACCGUCCACGUCCUCCCAGAGGAAGACGUCAAGGAAGGAGCUGAGGUCACUCUGUUGUGUCUGGUCUCUACCAGGGAACCGCAGGAUUUCUACAUCGCCUGGUUAGAAGAAAAUGGAUCGAAUGUCAGCGUCUAUAACGAUGGCAUCGACUUCCCCUCUAUGAAGACUGAUGAGCGCUACUCAGUUACGAGUCUUUACACCACCUCCUUGAAAAAGUGGAACAAUUUCGUCAAGUUCACCUGCAAGGUGUGGUCACCUGGUGGCGGAACGCAGAGAGAUGUGUCUAAGAUGGUGUUUAGAUCAACUGAAUCUUUUAAACUGCGUGUCGCUAUGAGCUGCACAGAUGAUGCCAUUGAUGAGGACGAGUACAGCAGCCUGUGGUCCACCACCUCCUCCUUCAUAUUCCUCUUCAUAUCCUCUCUCAUUUACAGCAUGGUAUUCAGCCUGGUCAAGAUGAAGAGGCCAUGAGAUGAGAUUGAUGCAUAACAUGGACUUCACUUCUUCAUUUGUCUUCUAAGUAUUUUUUCUGGUUUUAAAAACAUUUAAUUGUGUGCUAGUUUUAAUGAUCGUUAUAUACAUAUUUUUAUUUAACUAUGUCACUCAAAAUAGAUUUUUCUGUGACCUGUACCAAAUAAAAGAUACAAUUGUAAUUGUUAGUCAUUUAGAUGAAUAGAUUCCCUGCAUAGG